rnacentral:lncRNA from 1 species
AGGGAAAGGACUAAUGUUGCGUGCUGUGUUUCCUUGAUUACAGAGCCAGUGAGCUUUCCCCCCCCACACCUCUCUUUGAAGCACCAGGGACUGGCCCCUGUUGAAUGUGGGGCUCUGGCAGGAGGGAUUUGUGCUCCCAGGUAGUACAGAGACCUCUUAGAUGCUCGACUGAUCAGAGGCUCACAAAAGGGAAGUACGGGAAUUCUUGAGAAAUGGCUCAUCUUCCAAGGUAACACAGAGCUGUAUACAGCAUAAUAACGUGGUUCUCUAACCGGAGGGAAGCUGUAGCAGCAGUCUCUCCACUUGCCGGUGCAGUCAGAUCGGCACUGGUCAUGGGGCAGAAAGCUGCUUCGGCUGCUCUGCUGACACUGAGCUCCUUCAGCACAGCCUGCAAACUCCUCCUGCGUUUCGAACAGGUCCCUGCCAGGAGCCUCAUGCUGGUGCUGGCUCUGCUCAUACACAGAAUAUUGGGAUGGGACAUUCAGUGCUUCCUCUUGAAGCUCAUCUGA